AAAUGUAUAACUAUUUCAAUAGGAUUUUAUAGUAAUCAUGUUGCGAACCGCAUGAACAUGUAAGAUUUGGAGAAAUCCUAAUCCGGUGAUGAGAAAUUAUGUUCCUAUCCAUUUGUCGCAUUUUAUUCUCUAAAGGAUCUACUCCGUAUUCUACCACAUGAUGCAGUGGGCAGCACUCUAAAUAUUAUAUGACCAUAUCACCGAAGGUAGGUAUGGUCCUAUAAAUACGAUUUACAGCAUAUGUCUAUCUAAUACGUGAUAUUGGUUUGCGCAGGAUAUCGCGAAUUCAGCGAAGUGUCACCCUACACUCCUUCUUUCACAGUUUGGCUGCUAAGUUAUUGAGUACGUUCAGGUGGAGUCAAUAUAUAGAAAAUUCGCAAUGUACAGGGUUACGAUUUCCUCAAAAUUGAUGACCUCUUUUACAUGAAAUCUGGAGUGUAUGUCUGGGCAAAAAGGAAGUUGCAAUUGGUAAGACUUAUUUGGGGUUUCAUAUUCAAAUUCAUGACCUGUUUUUCGGGUUAUUCACUCAUGUAGAUGGCUCUUUCAUAUUUGGGUGAUUAUUCAGUCUGUACUUUGCAUGUGUACAGACCGAAGAGCAUUUCUUGUUCAGCAAUUUCAGCAUAA